GNNGCCAAANUNCCUNNNAUGGCCAGGACCCCAUUNGCCCNNCNGUUGUGUNNAAAGAAAGGNCCCNUUUAGGGGGUUUUNAAAAGGCAUCUUUUUCAGNCGAAGGNAGGGAAAGGGUUUCAGGUNGUUUAAUAGCGCCUGAGCAUUNGACGUUACUUCGCAGAAGAAGCCCCGGGCUAACUUCCNGUGCCAGCAGCCGCGGUAAUACGGAGGGUGCAAGCGUUNAUCGGAAUUACUGGGCGUAAAGGNGCACGCAGGCGGUUUGUUAAGUCAGAUGUGAAAUCCCCGAGCUUAACUUGGGAACUGCAUUUGAAACUGGCAAGCUAGAGUCUUGUAGAGGGGGGUAGAAUUCCAGGUGUAGCGGUGAAAUGCGUAGAGAUCUGGAGGAAUACCGGUGGCGAAGGCGGCCCCCUGGACAAAGACUGACGCUCAGGUGCGAAAGCGUGGGGAGCAAACAGGAUUAGAUACCCUGGUAGUCCACGCUGUAAACGAUGUCGACUUGGAGGUUGUGCCCUUGAGGCGUGGCUUCCGGAGCUAACGCGUUAAGUCGACCGCCUGGGGAGUACGGCCGCAAGGUUAAAACUCAAAUGAAUUGACGGGGGCCCGCACAAGCGGUGGAGCAUGUGGUUUAAUUCGAUGCAACGCGAAGAACCUUACCUACUCUUGACAUCCAGAGAAUUCGCUAGAGAUAGCUUAGUGCCUUCGGGAACUCUGAGACAGGUGCUGCAUGGCUGUCGUCNGCUCGUGNUUGNAAU
rnacentral:rRNA from 1 species